UGAACGCUGGCGGCGUGCCUAAUACAUACAAGUCGAGCGAACAGACGAGGAGCUUGCUCCUCUGACGUUAGCGGCGGACGGGUGAGUAACACGUGGAUAACCUACCUAUAAGACUGGGAUAACUUCGGGAAACCGGAGCUAAUACCGGAUAAUAUAUUGAACCGCAUGGUUCAAUAGUGAAAGACGGUUUUGCUGUCACUUAUAGAUGGAUCCGCGCCGCAUUAGCUAGUUGGUAAGGUAACGGCUUACCAAGGCAACGAUGCGUAGCCGACCUGAGAGGGUGAUCGGCCACACUGGAACUGAGACACGGUCCAGACUCCUACGGGAGGCAGCAGUAGGGAAUCUUCCGCAAUGGGCGAAAGCCUGACGGAGCAACGCCGCGUGAGUGAUGAAGGUCUUCGGAUCGUAAAACUCUGUUAUUAGGGAAGAACAAAUGUGUAAGUAACUAUGCACGUCUUGACGGUACCUAAUCAGAAAGCCACGGCUAACUACGUG
rnacentral:rRNA from 1 species